rnacentral:rRNA from 1 species
CCUACGGGAGGCUGCAGUGGGGGAUAUUGCACAAUGGGGGAAACCCUGAUGCAGCGACGCCGCGUGGGGGAAGAAGUAUUUCGGUAUGUAAAGCCCUAUCAGCAGGGAAGAAGAAAUGACGGUACCUGAGUAAGAAGCACUGGCUAAAGACGUGCCAGCAGCCGCGGUAAUACGUCGGGUGCAAGCGUUAUCCGGAUUUACUGGGUGUAAAGGGAGCGCAGGCGGCACGGCAAGCCUGAUGUGAAAGCCCGCGGCCCAACCGCGGGACUGCAUUGGGAACUACCGGGCUGGAGUGCCGGCGAGGUAGGCGUACUUCCUCGUGUCGCGGUUAACUGCGUGGCUAUU